UACGGGGGGGGCAAGCGUUGUUCGGAAUUACUGGGCGUAAAGGGCUCGUAGGCGGCCAACUAAGUCGAACGUGAAAUCCCCGGGCUCAACCCGGGAACUGCGUCCGAUACUGGAAGGCUUGAAUCCGGGAGAGGGAUGCGGAAUUCCAGGUGUAGCGGUGAAAUGCGUAGAUAUCUGGAGGAACACCGGUGGCGAAGGCGGCAUCCUGGACCGGCAUUGACGCUGAGGCGCGAAAGCCAGGGGAGCAAAUGGG
rnacentral:rRNA from 1 species